rnacentral:lncRNA from 1 species
CUCCAGCUUGGCAGCUGCGGCAGUUUGUUACUCGAGGCCGCGCUUCAAGGCGGGCCCCGAAGGCCCAGCCUGGUGGAGAGUUGAUUUUAUCAGCAGUGUGGUUUCUCCAUGUUUGACAGCUUCCCUUUGCUCACCCAAGCACCUGCCAGAACCAUGUGAUAGUCUGGACGUUUCCUGGCCUCCUUGUAAAGAAGAUAAAGGGACACCCACACCCUUGGAUGUGUUUCUGAGUGUUGUCCUGAUCUUUCCAAACAUUUCAUCAGAAGACCCAGAUAGUAGUGUGGGCCAAAGAACAGAGCCAGCCUUUGUGCUGAGGAUCCCAUCACCACCCAUUGCUGAAGAAGAAUCAGGCCCCAGGACGGUAUGGAAAACACACCUGACACUACAAAUCUAGACUGUGAAACUGGCUCUCACCACAUGCCGUCUUCUCACCCUUCUCCACUGAAAAAGAAAAGGGAAAUGUAUGAUAACCAAUUAGAAGAGGACAGGGAAUCCUCUAUUAAAGCUUAAUAGUAAUUACUAUAUUUAGCUUCUUACAGAACUAAAAAAUACAUAUUAUUGUAAAGAUGUUAAGAACUGCACAUAAAGAUGAAAAUAAAACCAGACCCCAUCCCAGGAUACCCCUGCUUUUUUAGCAUUUUAUGGCAUACUUCCCUAAACUUUAAUAAAAUGUUUCAGUGAUUUAAAA